rnacentral:rRNA from 1 species
CCUACGGGAGGCAGCAGUGAGGAAUAUUGGUCAAUGGGCGGAAGCCUGAACCAGCCAAGUAGCGUGCAGGAUGACGGCCCUACGGGUUGUAAACUGCUUUUAUACGGGAAUAACGCGCCUUACGUGUAGGGCUUUGCAUGUACCGUAUGAAUAAGGACCGGCUAAUUCCGUGCCAGCAGCCGCAGUAAUACGGAAGGUCCGGGCGUUAUCCGGAUUUUUUGGGUUUAAAGGGAGCGUUGGCCGCAUGUCAAGCGUGCUGUGAAAUGUCCGGGCUCAACCCGGGCCUUGCAGCGCGAACUGGCGUGCUUGAGUGCGCGGAAAGCAGGCGGAAUGCGUGGUGUAGCGGUGAAAUGCUUAGAUAUGACGAAGAACCCCGAUUGCGAAGGCAGCUUGCUGCAGCGGAACUGACGCUGAUGCUCGAAAGCGCGGGUAUCGAACAGGAUUAGAUACCCGGGUAGUC